rnacentral:rRNA from 1 species
UACGUAGGCAGCGAGCGUUGUUCGGAGUUACUGGGCGUAAAGGGUGCGUAGGCGGUUGUUUAAGUUUGGUGUGAAAUCUCCCGGCUCAACUGGGAGGGUGCGCCGAAUACUGAAUGACUAGAGUGCGGGAGAGGAUAGUGGAAUUCCUGGUGUAGCGGUGAAAUGCGUAGAUAUCCGGAGGAACACCGACGGCGCAGGCAGCGUCCUGGCCGCUUGCUGACACUGAGGCACGAAAGCUGGGGGAGCAAACAGG